GACGAACGCUGGCGGCGUGCUUAACACAUGCAAGUCGAACGGAAAGGCGCUGCUUCUGUGGGGUGCUCGAGUGGCGAACGGGGGAGUAACACGUGAAUAACCUGCCCUGGACUUGGGGAUAACUUCAGGAAACUGGGGCUAAUACCGGAUAGGAGCCCCUGCUGCAUGGAGGGGGUUGGAAAGUUUCGGGGGAGGGGGAGGGAGUCGCGCCUUAUCAGCUUGUUGGUGGGGUGGUGGGUUACCAAGGCUUUGGGGGGCAGCCGGCCUGAGAGGGGGAGCGGCGACACUGGGGCAGAGAGACGGCGCAGACUCCUCCGGGAGGCAGAAGUGGGGAAUAUUGUGGAAUGGGGGGACGCCUGUGGCAGCAACGCUGCGUGUGGGAGAAGGGCCUUCGCGGUGUAAAAAGUUCUUGCAUGAGACGAAGCGAGAAUGACGGUACUGGGUAAAGAAGCACCGGCUAACUACGUG
rnacentral:rRNA from 1 species